UGGCUCAGAUUGAACGCUGGCGGCAGGCCUUACACAUGCAAGUCGAACGGCAGCACGGGAGCAAUCCUGGUGGCGAGUGGCGAACGGGUGAGUAAUAUAUCGGAACGUGCCCAGUCGUGGGGGAUAACGUAGCGAAAGCUACGCUAAUACCGCAUACGAUCUAUGGAUGAAAGCGGGGGAUCGCAAGACCUCGCGCGAUUGGAGCGGCCGAUAUCAGAUUAGGUAGUUGGUGGGGUAAAGGCUCACCAAGCCAACGAUCUGUAGCUGGUCUGAGAGGACGACCAGCCACACUGGGACUGAGACACGGCCCAGACUCCUACGGGAGGCAGCAGUGGGGAAUUUUGGACAAUGGGCGCAAGCCUGAUCCAGCAAUGCCGCGUGCAGGAAGAAGGCCUUCGGGUUGUAAACUGCUUUUGUACGGAACGAAACGGUCCUGGUUAAUACCUGGGGCUAAUGACGGUACCGUAAGAAUAAGCACCGGCUAACUACGUG
rnacentral:rRNA from 1 species